rnacentral:lncRNA from 1 species
UCACAGCUCACUGCAGUCUUGAAAUCCUGGGCUAAAACAAUCCUCCCACCUCAGCCUCCAACAUGGCUAGAAUUACAGGUGUGAACCACCACACUCUGCCAGAUACUUUUUCACUGGAAAGAAUAUAGAAACAAAAACUAGAAACAAAAUAUUCCAAGCCUUUUGCAAGAGAGGAGUCUCUAGGAUGGGACUGUGUCUGGAGCUGGUUCCUUCCAGUGGGUCCGUGGUCUCGCUGAUUUCAAGAAUGGAGCCACGGACCUUUGCGAGUCUCGCUCUGUCCAGUGGCACAAUCUCUGCUCACUGCAACCUCCACCUCCCUGUUCAAGCGAUUCUCAUGCGUCAGCCUUCCGAGUAGCUGGGACUACAGACACACAUAAGAUGUUACAGCUCUUUGAAGUCAUUCCCAUAGUCUUCUAAUGCAACAAGUCAUUGUCACUAAUUCAACUGAAAAGGUCUGCUUAACAUAAGGUUUGCAGCCAAGCGCGGCCACUCAUGCCUGUAAUCCCAGCACUUUGGGAGGCCGAGGCGGGCGGAUCAUGAGAUCAGGAGAUUGAGACCAUCCCGGCUAACACAGUGAAACCCCGUCUCUACUGAAAAUAGAAAAAAUUAACUGGGUGCGGUGGCGGGUGCCUGUAGUCCCAGUUACUUGGGAGGCUGAGGCAGGAGAAUGGCGUGAACCUGGGAGGUGGAGCUUGCAGUGAGCCAGGAUCGCGCCACUGCACUCCAGCCUGGGUGACAGAGCGAGACUCCAU